rnacentral:rRNA from 1 species
CCUACGGGAGGCUGCAGUGAGGAAUAUUGGUCAAUGGCCGCAGGGCUGAACCAGCCAAGUCGCGUGAGGGAUGACGGUCCUAUGGAUUGUAAACCUCUUUUGUCAGGGAGCAAAGGGCGCCACGUGUGGCGCUUUGCGAGUACCGUAAGAAAAAGCAUCGGCUAACUCCGUGCCAGCAGCCGCGGUAAUACGGAGGAUGCGAGCGUUCUCCGGAUUUAUUGGGGUUAAAGGGUGCGCAGGCGGAAUGUCAAGUCAGCGGUAAAAUUUUGGGGCUCAACCCCGUCGUGCCGUUGAAACUGGCGUUCUUGAGUGAGCGAGAAGUAUGCGGAAUGCGUGGUGUAGCGGUGAAAUGCAUAGAUAUCACGCAGAACUCCGAUUGCGAAGGCAGCAUACCGGCGCUCAACUGACGCUCAUGCACGAAAGCGUGGGUAUCGAACAGGAUUAGAUACCCCUGUAGUC